AUAUUGGGCAAUGGGCGCAAGCCUGACCCAGCAACGCCGCGUGAGGGAAGAAGGCCUUCGGGUUGUAAACCUUUGUCCUUGGGGACGAAAAAAAUGACGGUACCCAAGGAGGAAGCUCCGGCUAACUACGUGCCAGCAGCCGCGGUAAUACGUAGGGAGCGAGCGUUGUCCGGAAUUACUGGGCGUAAAGGGUGCGUAGGCGGCCAGGCAAGUCAGAUGUGAAAUCCCCGGGCUUAACUCGGGGGGUGCAUUUGAAACUGCAUGGCUUGAGUGCAGGAGAGGAAAGCGGAAUUCCUAGUGUAGCGGUGAAAUGCGUAGAUAUUAGGAAGAACACCAGUGGCGAAGGCGGCUUUCUGGACUGUAACUGACGCUGAGGCACGAAAGCGUGGGGAGCAAACAGG
rnacentral:rRNA from 1 species